rnacentral:rRNA from 1 species
GACGAACGCUGGCGGCGUGCUUAACACAUGCAGGUCGAACGGAAAGGCCCUGCUUUUGUGGGGUGCUCGAGUGGCGAACGGGUGAGUAACACGUGAGUAACCUGCCCUUGACUUUGGGAUAACUUCAGGAAACUGGGGCUAAUACCGGAUAGGAGCUCCUGCUGCAUGGUGGGGGUUGGAAAGUUUCGGCGGUUGGGGAUGGACUCGCGGCUUAUCAGCUUGUUGGUGGGGUAGUGGCUUACCAAGGCUUUGACGGGUAGCCGGCCCGAGAGGGUGACCGGCCACAUUGGGACUGAGAUACGGCCCAGACUCCUACGGGAGGCAGCAGUGGGGAAUAUUGCACAAUGGGCGGAAGCCUGAUGCAGCAACGCCGCGUGCGGGAUGACGGCCUUCGGGUUGUAAACCGCUUUCGCCUGUGACGAAGCGUGAGUGACGGUAAUGGGUAAAGAAGCACCGGCUAACUACGUG